GACGAACGCUGGCGGCGUGCUUAACACAUGCAAGUCGAACGAAGAGCGAUGGAAGCUUGCUUCUAUCAAUCUUAGUGGCGAACGGGUGAGUAACGCGUAAUCAACCUGCCCUUCAGAGGGGGACAACAGUUGGAAACGACUGCUAAUACCGCAUACGAUCUAAUCUCGGCAUCGAGGAUAGAUGAAAGGUGGCCUCUACAUGUAAGCUAUCACUGAAGGAGGGGAUUGCGUCUGAUUAGCUAGUUGGAGGGGUAACGGCCCACCAAGGCGAUGAUCAGUAGCCGGCCUGAGAGGAUGAACGGCCACAUUGGGACUGAGACACGGCCCAGACUCCUACGGGAGGCAGCAGUGGGGAAUCUUCCGCAAUGGACGAAAGUCUGACGGAGCAACGCCGCGUGAGUGAUGACGGCCUUCGGGUUGUAAAGCUCUGUUAAUCGGGACGAAAGGCCUUCUUGCGAAUAGUGAGAAGGAUUGACGGUACCGGAAUAGAAAGCCACGGCUAACUACGU
rnacentral:rRNA from 1 species